rnacentral:tRNA from 1 species
UCCUCAUGUCUCAGUUGGUAAAGAAUCUGCCUGCAAUGUGGAAGACCUGGGUUCAAUCCCCGGAUUGGGAA